CCUUCAUGGAGCGCGAACCUGCGUCAAAAAAAUUUCCAGCGGUUCCACAGUCGGGACCAUCUUUGCUGAAAAACUUUCUAAUAUUUUAGAAGAUAAGUGUGCCGUCAGACAAAAAGUUUGAGAACCUCUGGUCUAUGUAAAGAGGAACUCGCUCAACCGGCAAUAUAAAGAGCAGCGAUAUAGCAGAAGUUUAUUGUACCCGAUAUUUUUAAAACGUUCCCAUAAAUAUAAGCACAUCGUCUCCAAUCCAUUUUUUAUGAAACAUUGUACCACACAUCUAAGGAAAUGGAAGUGAAGAAAUACUGUUACUGUCAACUAAUUUAGUAAAAUAACUAGACCGAUCAGUUAAUUCGUAAAAAUUUAUGUCUAAUUAUUAACGAAAAUCGAUGCUGAUGGUUCAAUUGAGAAACAGGAAGAGAGUUUCUACCUGUUCAAACAUGUAUGUUAUAAAAAUGAUUAAAAAGGGAAGGUAUUGUACCUCCGGUCAGUUUCCAUAUAACGUUGGAUAACCCUUUUAUUUGAUAUAUUUAAAUAAAUCUGUGAACAAAUAACUGGUAAUAUUAUAGUUCAUGCGCAAUGCCAAACGAGCGCGGCAAUUCAGGAGUUGUUUACCCCCCAAAUAUUUCUAUAAAAAAAAUCAAAAAAAUACGCGUUCC